rnacentral:rRNA from 1 species
UACGAGGGGGGCGAGCGUUGUUCGGAAUUAUUGGGCGUAAAGGGUGCGUAGGCGGUUUGGUAAGUCUGAUGUGAAAUCUAUGGGCUCAACUCAUAGUCUGCAUCGGAAACUGCCGGGCUUGAGUAUGGGAGAGGUGAGUGGAAUUCCUGGUGUAGCGGUGAAAUGCGUAGAUAUCAGGAGGAACACCUGUGGCGAAAGCGGCUCACUGGACCAUAACUGACGCUGAUGCACGAAAGCUAGGGGAGCGAACAGG